rnacentral:misc_RNA from 1 species
GGCAGUAAAAGUCGUAACAAGGUCUCCGUUGGUGAACCAGCGGAGGGAUCAUUACCGAGUUUACAACUCCCAAACCCCUAUGUGAACGUUACCAAACUGUUGCCUCGGCGGGAAAUUCAUGCCCCGGGCGCGUCGCAGCCCCGGACCAAGGCGCCCGCCGGAGGACCAACCAAAACUCUUUUGUAUGUCCCUCGCGGACUUUUAUAAUUCUGAACCAUCUCGGCGCCCCUAGCGGGCGUUUCGAAAAUGAAUCAAAACUUUCAACAACGGAUCUCUUGGUUCUG